rnacentral:rRNA from 1 species
UACGUAGGGUGCAAGCGUUGUCCGGAAUUAUUGGGCGUAAAGAGCUCGUAGGCGGUCUGUCGCGUCGGCUGUGAAAACUCGGGGCUCAACCCCGAGCCUGCAGUCGAUACGGGCAGACUAGAGUGCUGUAGGGGAGACUGGAAUUCCUGGUGUAGCGGUGAAAUGCGCAGAUAUCAGGAGGAACACCGGUGGCGAAGGCGGCAUCCUGGACCGGCAUUGACGCUGAGGCGCGAAAGCCAGGGGAGCAAACGGG